GCCGGGCAUGGUGGCGUGUGCCUGUAGUCCCAGCUACUCAGGAGGCUGAGACAGGAGAAUUGUUUGAACCUGGGAGGCCAAAGUUGCAGUGAGCUGAGAUCGUGCCACUGUACUCCAGCCUGGAUGACAAAGCGAGACCCUGUCUCAA
ensembl:misc_RNA Metazoa_SRP Metazoan signal recognition particle RNA